rnacentral:rRNA from 1 species
UACAGGGGGGGCAAGCGUUGUUCGGAAUUACUGGGCGUAAAGGGCCAGUAGGCGGCCAACUAAGUCCGACGUGAAAUCCCCAGGCUUAACCUGGGAACUGCGUCGGAUACUGGAUGGCUUGAAUUCGGGAGAGGGAUGCAGAAUUCCAGGUGUAGCGGUGAAAUGCGUAGAUAUCAGGAGGAACACCGGUGGCGAAGGCGGGUCUCUGGGCAGUAACUGACGCUGAGGAGCGAAAGCGUGGGGAGCGAACAGG